UUCGUAAUGUUGGUUUGCAUCUCUCGGCCACCGUGUUCUUGACUGGCCGGACUUAGUCUUGAGAGCAGUUACUGUUUGGGGAUUGAGGAGGUUGAACAGAAAGUCGGAGAGCAGACAGGCAGAGAGUUUUCAGAGCAGUGGAGCUUCGCUUACAGGCUGGUCUGGCUGUUAAGGUAAGCUAAGCUAACCGGGCGGCUGGACUGGGACUUCCCCACCAACCGCUGCAUAAUCUCGGCCAGGCACUCUGGGAUUGCCCGCUACCUGUUAUCUGUUUCUGGUGACUGAAGUUUUAUGCAGACAGCUCUGUGGGAGGAGACACAACAGUUCCAGGUUUGGAUGCAGUUUCCCAGAAGCUCCCACCCUGUACUCCAGUAUCUGUACAUCUUCUACUUUAUAUAAAUAUUUGCUUAUGAGUAGACAGUCAAGGUAUCAAUUCCCUAUACUUCUGGACUGAUUACCUGAUUUUUUAUUUAAAUAAAUAAAAUCUUU